CAUCAACGCUACACUCAAUCA
rnacentral:miRNA from 1 species